rnacentral:lncRNA from 1 species
CCCCAGGCAGAUGGUAGCAUCUCUGCUCCUCUUGGGGGAGGAAGACUGCAGCUGGAGGGAGCCUCCCCGAGGGGGCGGAGCUGGCAGGGCAGAGUGGGGUCACAUGAGGUCUGGGAGCCCAGGAGGCAGUUCUGGGCGGCCCCUCAUGUCAGAUGUGGAUCGGGGCUGCUGGACAGAGCGGCCCGGACAGGAAGGCGCUCGGGAGUUUGUCCAGGUCUCAGGUUUUGCUCUGGGCCUGGGUGGGCGGGGGCUUGGGAACCCCGCCGAGGACCACCCGCUCCAGGCAGCCAUCAGCAGAUCACCUGAGGGCCCUACACAGCUCUUCUGAACUGGACCCUGGAGUCACUCUGCACACUGACCCCAACUCCUCACCUGGGGGGGCUUGGCCCUCCCCACCCCGUGCCUGCCCCAGCCUCCCAGGAGUUGGCACGUUUGCAGAAUGGCUUCUUCCACGUGGAUGCACGGAUGACGGCUGCGCAGGGUCACGCUCACGCUGAGCACGGCGCUGGAGGAUGCCAGCCAUCCUGACCCCGCUCGGCAAGCGUUCCCUGAGGAGCACGGGCUUCUCGUGCCGUUUGCCUUUUGGUCAUUUCUUCAGAAAACAUUCCUAGCAGGGGUGGUGUUUUGUUUUGUUUUGUUUUAAUGAAAAUGUUACUGAGAUAACUAGAGGUUCACUUGCAAUUCUGACAAAUAAUGCAGAGGCGGCCUUGGACACCUUAGCCAGGAUUCCCCAGUGGAAAGCAACGUUUUCUAAAAAGAAACCAGAAGACCCCAACCAGGACAGUGGUGCUGGUACAGCCACUGCUCCUGUUCCGGUUCCCCUAGCUUUACUCGUACGUGUGUCUGUGGUAAAUUCUACACAGUUUUAUCAGCCAGGUUGGUUUGAGAAAUCUCCAAAGACACUGAAGAGUCCCAACAAGGAUUGCUAUUUUGUCCUUUUAUAACCACACUGCCCCACCUUGUCCCCAAACCGCAGAAAGGCAACUGCUGAUCUGUCCUCCCUUCCAAAAGCUUGUCAUUUUAGUGUUCCUUAGAUCAAAGUGCCAACAUCCGCUGGAUCAUCGAAAAAGCAAGAGAGUUCCAGAAGAACAUCUACUUCUGCUUCAUUGACUAUGCCAAAGCCUUUGACUGUGUGGAUCACCACAAAC